GACGAACGCUGGCGGCGUGCCUAAUACAUGCAAGUCGAACGCUGAAGAGAGGAGCUUGCUCUUCUUGGAUGAGUUGCGAACGGGUGAGUAACGCGUAGGUAACCUGCCUUGUAGCGGGGGAUAACUAUUGGAAACGAUAGCUAAUACCGCAUAACAAUGGAUGACACAUGUCAUUUAUUUGAAAGGGGCAAUUGCUCCACUACAAGAUGGACCUGCGUUGUAUUAGCUAGUAGGUGAGGUAAUGGCUCACCUAGGCGACGAUACAUAGCCGACCUGAGAGGGUGAUCGGCCACACUGGGACUGGGACACGGCCCAGACUCCUACGGGAGGCAGCAGUAGGGAAUCUUCGGCAAUGGGGGCAACCCUGACCGAGCAACGCCGCGUGAGUGAAGAAGGUUUUCGGAUCGUAAAGCUCUGUUGUAAGUCAAGAACGGGUGUGAGAGUGGAAAGUUCACACUGUGACGGUAGCUUACCAGAAAGAGACGGCUAACUACGUG
rnacentral:rRNA from 1 species